CCUACGGGAGGCAGCAGUGAGGAAUAUUGGUCAAUGGACGAGAGUCUGAACCAGCCAAGUAGCGUGAAGGAUGACUGCCCUAUGGGUUGUAAACUUCUUUUAUAUGGGAAUAAAACGUUCCACGUGUGGGAUUUUGUAUGUACCAUAUGAAUAAGGAUCGGCUAACUCCGUGCCAGCAGCCGCGGUAAUACGGAGGAUGCGAGCGUUAUCCGGAUUUAUUGGGUUUAAAGGGAGCGUAGGUGGAUUGUUAAGUCAGUUGUGAAAGUUUGCGGCUCAACCGGAAAAUUGCAGUUGAAACUGGCAGUCUUGAGUACAGUAGAGGUGGGCGGAAUUCGUGGUGUAGCGGUGAAAUGCUUAGAUAUCACGAAGAACUCCGAUUGCGAAGGCAGUUCACUGGACUGCAACUGACACUGAGGCUCGAAAGUGUGGGUAUCAAACAGGAUUAGAUACCCGGGUAGUC
rnacentral:rRNA from 1 species